rfam:Callithrix jacchus chromosome 4, whole genome shotgun sequence
GGCCAGUCUGAGUGUAGGGGUGUCUAGAACUAAUGGAGCACAACUCACUAUAGGUUUCUUUGCUCUUCCUCCACUCCCACUGCUUCACUCGACUAGCCUUCA